rnacentral:rRNA from 1 species
UGCAAAAAAUUCGCCCUUUACCUUGUUAUUACUUAGCCCCAAUCACCGGUUUCACCCUAGGCCGACCCUCGCGGUCACGGACUUCAGGCGCCCCCGGCUUUCAUGGCUUGACGGGCGGUGUGUACAAGGCCCGGGAACGUAUUCACCGCGCCAUGGCUGAUGCGCGAUUACUAGCGAAUCCAGCUUCGUGGGGUCGGGUUGCAGACCCCAGUCCGAACUGAGGAUGACUUUAAGGAUUGGACCGAUGUUGCCAGCGGCCGGCCCUCUGUAUCACCCAUUGUAACACGUGUGUAGCCCCGGACGUAAGGGCCGUGCUGAUUUGACGUCAUCCCCACCUUCCUCACUCCUUGCGGAGGCAGUGUCCCCAGAGUGCCCGGCCAAAACCGAUGGCAACUAGGGAAAGGGGUUGCGCUCGUUAUGGCACUUAAGCCGACACCUCACGGCACGAGCUGACGACAACCAUGCAGCACCUUCACAGAGACCCCGAAGGGCAUCACCAUCUCUGGAUCUUUCCUCUGCAAUUCAAGCCCGGGUAAAGUUCCUCGCGUAUC